rnacentral:rRNA from 1 species
AGAGUUUGAUCCUGGCUCAGAACGAACGCUGGCAGCGUGGAUGAGGCAUGCAAGUCGAGCGGGAUUGCCGAUGUAGCAAUACAGCGGCAUGAGAGCGGCGAAAGGGUGCGUAACGCGUAGGCAAUCUACCUUCAAGUUUGGGAUAACACCGCGAAAGCGGUGCUAAUACCGGAUAUGAUCCGCCGGUCGCAUGACUGGUUGAUUAAAGACGGGGACCUUCGGGCCUGUCGCUUGUUGAGGAGCCUGCGUCCUAUCAGCUAGUUGGUGAGGUAAUGGCCCACCAAGGCUUACGGGUAGGUGGACUGAGAGGUUGGUCACCCACACUGGGACUGAGACACUGCCCAGACUCCUACGGGAGGCUGCAGUCGAGGAUCAUUCGCAAUGCGCGAAAGCGUGACGAUGCGACGCUGCGUGGAGGAUGAAGGCCUUCGGGUUGUAAACUCCAGUUAUAGGGAACAAUGCCGGUUGUAUUAAUAUGACGACCGGAAAGAGAGUACUAAAGAGAG